GACGAACGCUGGCGGCGUGCUUAACACAUGCAAGUCGAACGGUAAGGCCCUUCGGGUACGACGAGUGGCGAACGGGUGAGUAACACGUGGUGAUCUGCCCUGCACUUCGGGAUAAGCCUGGGAAACUGGGUCUAAUACCGGAUAGGACCAUGGACUUCACGGUUUGUGGUGGAAAGCUUUUGCGGUGUGGGAUGGGCCCGCGGCCUAUCAGCUUGUUGGUGGGGUAAUGGCCUACCCAAGGCGACGACGGGUAGCCGGCCUGAGAGGGUGUCCGGCCACACUGGGACUGAGAUACGGCCCAGACUCCUACGGGAGGCAGCAGUGGGGAAUAUUGCACAAUGGGCGCAAGCCUGAUGCAGCGACGCCGCGUGAGGGAUGACGGCCUUCGG
rnacentral:rRNA from 1 species